rnacentral:rRNA from 1 species
GACGAACGCUGGCGGCGCGCUUAACACAUGCAAGUCGAACGGAAAGGCCUGCUUUCCCUUGUGGAUUGCGGGUACUCGAGUGGCGAACAGGUGAGUAACACGUGAGUGAUCUGCCCCCAACUUGGGUAUAAGCCUGGGAAACUGGGUCUAAUUCCCGAUAGGACUGCAGGGUGGUGCCUGUGGUGGAAAACGAUUUUCUAGUGGUUGGGGAUGAGCUCGCGGCCUAUCGGCUUGUUGGUGGGGUAAUGGCCUACCAAGGCGGCGACGGGUAGCCGGCCUGGGAGGGUGGACGGCCGCAUUGGGACUGAGAUACGGCCCAGACUCCUACGGGAGGCAGCAGUGGGGAAUAUUGCACAAUGGGCGGAAGCCUGAUGCAGCGACGCCGCGUGGGGGAUGACGGCCUUCGGGUUGUAAACUCCUUUCGACCGCGAGGAAGCCACCUGGUUGGAAGGGUGGUGACGGUAGUGGUAGAAGAAGCACCGGCUAACUACGUG